rnacentral:lncRNA from 1 species
UUUUUUUUUAAUUGAAGGACUAUUUAAUAACAUAGUCAUUAAGCAAUGAACAAAACUUUUCUGUAAUAUAUGGGAUUUUAACUGGUACUUGAAAGAAGCCAAGAGGUAGAGAUGAAGGGGGAGAGAAUCUCCAACAGAUUGAUUUAAUCUUACAACAAAUCAUGGCAGACAAGGAAACUAGAUUGUGAAGGAGAUAAUAAAGGAUUUGGACUUUAACACCUGGCUACUCUUCUGGAAAUUACUCUGCUGAAAAGAAGGCUGCUCAGAGAUCUCCAGAAAACCCAACAAGAUCGUUACAUUUUGGUGCCGGAACAUGGAACCAAGGACCUACAUCUGUGACCCAGAAUUAGGAUGAAGAAGAAAUCAGAUGGGUGCCUAUGAGCACCUGGAGAGAGAUAGAAAAAGAGAAAAACCUCAAAACAAAGAAGACCUAAGAAACAUCUGACACUGAAAG